rnacentral:rRNA from 1 species
AAUCAACGCUGGCGGCGCGCUUAACACAUGCAAGUCGCACGAGAAAGGGAGCAAUCCUGAGUAAAGUGGCGUACGGGUGAGUAACACGUGGGAAUCUACCUCUUGGCGGGGAAUAACCCUGGGAAACCGGGGCUAAUACCGCAUAAGCUCGUGAGAGGAAAGCAGCAAUGCACCGAGAGAGGAGCCCGCGGCCGAUUAGCUAGUUGGUGGGGUAAUGGCUCACCAAGGCGAAGAUCGGUAGCCGGCCUGAGAGGGCACACGGCCACACUGGCACUGAGACACGGGCCAGACUCCUACGGGAGGCAGCAGUGGGGAAUCUUGCACAAUGGGGGAAACCCUGAUGCAGCGACGCCGCGUGAGCGAUGAAGCCCUUCGGAGUGUAAAGCUCUUUCGACAGGAACGAUAAUGACGGUACCUGGAGAAGAAGCUGCGGCUAACUACGUG